CCCUACGGGAGGCAGCAGUGAGGAAUAUUGGUCAAUGGACGAGAGUCUGAACCAGCCAAGUAGCGUGAAGGAUGACUGCCCUAUGGGUUGUAAACUUCUUUUAUAUGGGAAUAAAAUGUUCCACGUGUGGCGUUUUGCGAGUACCUGAAGAAAAAGCAUCGGCUAACUCCGUGCCAGCAGCCGCGGUAAUACGGAGGAUGCGAGCGUUAUCCGGAUUUAUUGGGUUUAAAGGGUGCGCAGGCGGAAUGUCAAGUCAGCGGUAAAAUUUCGGGGCUCAACCCCGUCGUGCCGUUGAAACUGGCGUU
rnacentral:rRNA from 1 species